UACGUAGGGGGGCAAGCGUUGUCCGGAAUCAUUGGGCGUAAAGAGCGUGUAGGCGGCCCGGUAAGUCCGCUGUGAAAGUCCAGGGCUCAACCCUGGGAUGCCGGUGGAUACUGUCGGGCUAGAGUCCGGAAGAGGCGAGUGGAAUUCCUGGUGUAGCGGUGAAAUGCGCAGAUAUCAGGAAGAACACCCCGUGGCUAAGGCGGCUCUCUAGUACGGUACUGACGCUGAGACGCGAAAGCGUGGGGAGCGAACAGG
rnacentral:rRNA from 1 species